GCCGGAGUGGAGGAAUUGGUAGACUCGCUGUCUUCAGAAGGCAGUUCCAAAAAGGAGUGUGGGUUCAAGUCCCGCCUCCGGCACCA
rnacentral:tRNA from 1 species